GACGAACGCUGGCGGCGCGCCUAACACAUGCAAGUCGAGCGGGAAGCUUUUUAAGGAUUCUUCGGAUGAAUUAAAAAGUGGAGAGCGGCGGACGGGUGAGUAACGCGUGAGAAACCUGCCCUAUACAGGGGGAUAGCCAUUGGAAACGAUGAUUAAUACCCCAUAUGACCACAGUAUCGCAUGAUACAGCGGUGAAAACUCCGGUGGUAUAGGAUGGUCUCGCGUCUGAUUAGCUAGUUGGUGGGGUAACGGCCUACCAAGGCGACGAUCAGUAGCCGGCCUGAGAGGGUGACCGGCCACACUGGAACUGAGACACGGUCCAGACUCCUACGGGAGGCAGCAGUGGGGAAUAUUGCACAAUGGGCGAAAGCCUGAUGCAGCGACGCCGCGUGAACGAUGAAGGCUUUCGAGUCGUAAAAGUUCUGUUCUUGGGGAAGAUAACGACGGUACCCAAGGAGAAAGCACCGGCUAAAUACGUGCCAGCCGCCGCGGUAAUUCCAG
rnacentral:rRNA from 1 species